rnacentral:rRNA from 1 species
CUUUGGGUGUGACUGCGUACCUUUUGUAUAAUGGGUCAGCGACUUAUAUUCUGUAGCAAGGUUAACCGAAUAGGGGAGCCGGAGGGAAACCGAGUCUUAACCGGGCGUUAAGUUGCAGGGUAUAGACCCGAAACCCGGUGAUCUAGCCAUGGGCAGGUUGAAGGUUGGGUAACACUAACUGGAGGACCGAACCGACUAAUGUUGAAAAAUUAGCGGAUGACCUGUGGCUGGGGGUGAAAGGCCAAUCAAACCGGGAGAUAGCUGGUUCUCCCCGAAAGCUAUUUAGGUAGCGCCUCGUGAAUUCAUCUCCGGGGGUAGAGCACUGUUUCGGCUAGGGGGCCAUCCCGGCUUACCAACCCGAUGCAAACUGCGAAUACCGGAGAAUGUUAUCACGGGAGACACACGGCGGGUGCUAACGUCCGUCGUGAAGAGGGAAACAACCCAGACCGCCAGCUAAGGUCCCAAAGUCAUGGUUAAGUGGGAAACGAUGUGGGAAGGCCCAGACAGCCAGGAUGUUGGCUUAGAAGCAGCCAUCAUUUAAAGAAAGCGUAAUAGCUCACUGGUCGAGUCGGCCUGCGCGGAAGAUGUAACGGGGCUAAACCAUGCACCGAAGCUGCGGCAGCGACGCUUAUGCGUUGUUGGGUAGGGGAGCGUUCUGUAAGCCUGCGAAGGUGGCCUGUGAGGG